CCGCAUUUAUCGGGUUUUAAAGGGUGCGUAGGCGGCGCAGUCACGUCAGCGGUGAGAUAUUGCAGCCUGAACUGUAAAAGUGCCGGUGAUACUGUGAGCCUAGGAUUUGGUGCUGUGGGUGCAAUGUGUGGUGUAGCGGUGAAAUGGUUAGAGAUCACACAGAAUAUCGAGUGCGAAGGCAGCUCACAAAGCCCACGAUUGACGCUGAGGCACGAAAGAGUGCGGAUCAUACAGGAUUAGAUACCCUCGUAGUCCACACUGUAAACGAUGAUAACUCGCUGUCGGCGAUCUACACUCGGUGGGCAAGCGAAAGCGAUAAGUUAUCCACCUGGGCAGUACGACAGCAAGGUUGAAACUCAAAGGAAUUGACGGCGCCCCGCACAAGCGGAGGAACAUGUGGUUUAAUACGAUGAUACGCGACGAACAUUACCCGGGCUCGAACGGUGCAGGAAUAUGGUAGAGAUAUCAUAGCUAGCAAUAGUCUGUAUCGAGGUGCUGCAUGGUUGUCGUCAGCUCGUGCCGUGAGGUGUCGGCUUAAGUGCCAUAACGAGCGCAACCCUUGCCAUUAGUUACCAUCAGGUCAAGCUGGGGACUUUAAUGAGACUGCCACCGUAAGGUGAGAGGAAGGGGGGGAUGACGUCAAAUCAGCACGGCCCUUAUGUCCGGGGCGACACACGUGUUACAAUGGGGGGUACAGAGGGCAGCCAUCCGGCGACGGAGCGCCAAUCUCAAAAACCCUUCUCAGUUCGGAUUGGAGUCUGCAACCCGACUCCAUGAAGUUGGAUUUGCUAGUAAUCGCGCAUCAG
rnacentral:rRNA from 1 species